AGAAAUAACUGGUAUAAAGUGACAUCAGCACUCUAGGGCUGCAGCAUUGUUAAUCAGGCUCUAAUUAGGGAGUCUUGUUUUAAAGAAAAUUGGUGCUUCACAGGAAGAACCCCAGCAGUCUCCUAACUGGUUCUACUAUCUCCUGGUAUACUUGAAGAGGGGAAUAGCACUGCAAUUUCAUUAGUGACCCAGAAAAAGCCAGCUGGUAAACCCUAGUGCCCUGUUAAGUCAUAUUUUUUUUUCCUAGUGGGAUGCUGAUGAACAGGCAUUUAACACAACUGUGAAGCAGCUGCUGUCACGCCUUCCGAAGCAAAGAUACCUCAAAUUAGUCUGUGAUGAAAUUUAUAACAUCAAAGUAGAAAAAAAGGUGUCUGUGCUAUUUCUGUAUAGCUACAGAGAUGACUACUACAGAAUCUUAUUUUAACCCUAAAGAACUGUCGUUGACCUCAUUCAGACAGAGGCUUAUACUGGAAUAAUGGAAUGUUGUACAUUCAUUGUCAUUCAAAAUUAAAUUCUAAGACGACGCUGGGCACAGUAGUUUACACUUGUAAUCCUAGCAUUUUGGGAAGCCAAGGCAGGAAGAUUGCUUGAAACCAGGAGUUCAAGACCAGCCUGAGCAAAAAGCAAGACCCCCAUCUCUACAAAAACUAAAAAAAUUAGUAGGGCAAGGGGACAUACACCUGUAGUCCUAGCUACUCCAAAGACUGAGGUGGGUAACUUGAGCCUGAGGAGGCUGAGGCUGCAAUGGGCUGUGACUGCGCCACUGCACUCCAGCCUGGACAGAGCAACACCCUGUCUCAAAAAAGAACAAAAAAAAUUCUAAGAAGCUGUCCUACAAAGUUGAGCUUUGUUAGUUUUUCAUGUGUAAUAUAUUAUAAAUUUAUCUUUUGGGAUAUAAUAAAUGCUUUCAUAUACCUGC